GGAGGGGCCUUUUCCCCACUUCCACUCUCCCAAGGAGAAACAUCUGAACAAGAGUGUUGUGUGGUGGCCUCAUUUGGGGCCUGGAGUUCUGGCCAACUACUGGCAAAACAAAGGCUGCAGAUGGUGGUGUCGUGGUGCCCUGGCGACUUCUUCCCAUGACGGGGAGGUGUGAAGGACCAAGCUCGGGUAUCCUGAAUUCUGCAGCUAAGCGAGGGUGUGUGGGCGUGUGUCCGUGUGUAGAUGACCGUGAUGGCUACAUUUAUGGUACUCCUGUGGAGCGGCUCUGUGUGUCUGUGCAUGUGUGACAGCUGUGAGCGCUAGACUAGAACACCGUAGACACGAUCUUCCCCUGGGGUGGAGCUUUGCUCACCCCCUUUAUGCUCUGCUUCCCAUCAGAGGCACUGAGCUCUCUGCUCUGAUGCCUACUUUUAGGCACUUUGGUCAUGCUAGCCCAGAUUUUGGUCUGUGAUAAAACAAAGAGAAAUGUUUACAACAUCUAGAGCAAUAUCAAAGUAUACCUCAUCCCGACCUUCCAUGUCUCCCGGUCCUGCCCUCUCUCCGUCUCCUCUUCCACAAGCCCUCAUCCACCUCACUGGGUCGGCAUCCACACAUGCCACUUCCAUCCACUGUCUUCCUCUGCUGCUCGUGUAGGACUUGUGCUGUGGACUGCCUUGUGGACACGAGAUUGCUGUGGUCCUGGGGCCUGUGCAGGCUCGUGGCAGGCCAGGGCAGUAGUUUGGGAAGAGCUGUGACUUUCAGAACUGCUCUCCAUCCCUGAGUGCCCUUUGGAGUGCCAAACUGUUUGGGCUGGUGUGAGAUUCACUGUUCCUCUUGGCUUGGCAAACAAAACAGAACAAGGUCAGCAUGAACCAUUUGCAGCCUUGGGCACCUCUGGGGUGAGAAAGAAUCCUCUGAGCUGGGGAGCGUUUGUAAGUGUGAAUCCCCAGGUUCCACACCCGGAGAUGCUCAUCUGAUAGGCCUGGGAAGGGGACCAGAAAUCUGUAUUUUGAAUAAACUCCUAGAUGGGUAGUGAGUGGCCUGUGGACUUUGAUAAAAGAUCGUUUAAGACAGUGGCUCUCAACCUUGACUGCUCAUUAGCACCAUCCGGGGAGUUUUAAAAACCCAAAUGUCCGCGUCCUACCCUAAAAUGGCUACAUCAGAAGCUCUUUGUUAGGGACCUGGUAUCUGUAGUUUCUAAAGUUCUGCAGGUGAUUCCAACAUGCAGAUGGGCUUAAGAAACACAGGAUGAGGCAUGAGGGCCAAAGGGGCUAAAGCACAUCCAGCUGCAAACAAGCACAGUAACUAGGAGCCCACCAGCCCUGGAGUGUGACUCUCAGGAUGCUGGCGCUCUCUUCUCAGUCUGACUUGCUCCUCUGAGAUAAAAGCGUCUGGGCCCGAGCUAUGUGCGUUGUUUGAUAGCAGGUAUGCCGAGGGGCCCUCCGUCACGAGAUGCUCUGCCAUGCUUUCUGAGUCUCAUUCUCCAAGCCUGCCUCCCUGUCCGUUAUCAUGUGUUCUUAUGUUUGGCCAUUUUGUCGUUAGGCUUUGUUGUGGGUGCCUCUGUACCCAAGGCCAUGUAACAAGGUAGUUGGAACUCAGGUCCUGAGUGAAGAGCGUCAUGGUAGUGUUAAGAGUAGUAACAUAACAAUUUCCAAACUUCACAGUGGUGGGCGUCACAUCCUGGGAGAUAGCAAGAGUUGUGUGGUCUUUCCCAGGCCACAGUGGGGUUUUGGCCCCUGCUUCAAGCCCUGACCGUUCCCUCUCAGGUCCCAGGCUGGGUGGGCUGCUGGGAAGUUCCUAGAUGAUGUUGCUCUCCGGUGCUCUUCCCAGAACUCGCUGCUCUGAAUAAACCAAAGCUGUGAAAGGGCCUUCUGUGCUGGCUGCCGGCCCAGCGCCGGGGUGCAGGCCCUGGGCUCUUCUCCUGGCAGGGCCGGCUGUCUGCCUGUGCAGGUGGAGAAGCCGGCUCUGGUGUAAGGGAAGCUGCCCUUCAAUCUGCAUUCCUCUGGGUUGGAAUCACCCCAGAGGUGGCAAGGAUGCUCCUGGCACUGAGAGCCUGUGCCUCUGUGCCACUUGGCAUGAGAUUGUGGAGGAAGACGCCAAGAGCAGAGAUGUCUUCCUGUCCCAGUGGCCUCUGAGGACUCCCCAAGAUGCUGCGGAGUGAGAUGGGAGACUUCAGGAUGGGCCAUGGGCCUUCUAGGUUGGGGUCCGGUCCUCUCAAUAAACUGGUCCUUUCUCAAUUCUUACUCCCUUUUGCUCCUCCGGCUCCCUUCCCUCUGCCAGGUAUGGAAAAGGUGGCUGGGCUCGGCGCACGCUCCCACCCCGGUAGCCUUAGCUGAGUCACGCGGCGAGCACAACAGAUCUGUAGCAGCUCAUCUGCCGUAUAAACCGCUUGGCUGAUGGAGUCCUCAUUGAGUUGUUUCAUUACCGUGCAAAGUGGAAUAAUGUCAUUCACCUUUACUCUAAACAAGGCUGUGAGAACAUAAUAAACAGAAACUGAACAAGCUG